CUAUUUCUGGGAUAACUAACCUAUACCUGUGAUGAUGACCUGAAUCAUUCAUGAAGAUAACACCCUAAUCAACUUUAUAAAGUCCCAAUGGCAAUUAAAAUCCACACACAUCUUGUAGGACACAUACAAGCCACAACAACUGGGAAGUUAUUGGAAAUGCAGAAUUUUCUGGUACCAUUGCUCCCCUGGACUAUGGCAGGACACCCUGAAUUAUCUUCUCAUCCAGCAUACUUUGCCCCACUUCAUUGGCCUACUCUGCUUCAACCACACUGGUGUCCUGGAUGUUUCUGAGCACAUUGGGCAUGCUUCUGUCUCAAGAUGAUUGGUUCCAGGACCUCAUGAAUCUACUAAACUCUGAGGAUACUCAAAUCUAUUAUAUAAAAUGGUACGGUGGUUCUUUAUAAUCUACACAAUCAUCUUGUAUACUUUUAGUCAUCUCUAGAUACUUAUAAUGUGUAAUACAAGGCAAAUUCUAUGCAAAUCAUUGUUAUACUAUAGUGUUCACAGAAAAUCAGAAGGAAAAAAAAUGUCUGUACAUGUUCAGCACAGAUGAAAUUUUUUUCUCAAAUGUUUUUACUUUGCAGCUGGUUGAAUCUGUGGCUACAAAGGGCAACUAUAUUUAAUUGUUUAUCCUGCUUAUUAUUGCCAGUCUCCCCAACUUAUUCCCCUUUAACAUGUAAGCUUUGGGGUAGGGUUGGAGAUAGUUCUCUUCUGUUCUAUGUUAUUUCCAUUGGACCAAGAAAAUGAUCCUGCCAAUAGUGCACACAAAAUGA